rnacentral:rRNA from 1 species
UACAGAGGUCUCAAGCGUUGUUCGGAUUCAUUGGGCGUAAAGGGUGCGUAGGUGGCACUGUAAGUCGGGUGUGAAAUUUCGGAGCUUAACUCCGAAACUGCAUUCGAUACUGCGGUGCUUGAGGACUGGAGAGGAGACUGGAAUUCAUGGUGUAGCAGUGAAAUGCGUAGAGAUCAUGAGGAAGACCAGUGGCGAAGGCGGGUCUCUGGACAGUUCCUGACACUGAGGCACGAAGGCCAGGGGAGCAAACGGG